rnacentral:rRNA from 1 species
GACGAACGCUGGCGGCGUGCCUAAUACAUGCAAGUUGAGCGCUGAAGGUUGGUCCUUGUACCAACUGGAUGAGCAGCGAACGGGUGAGUAACGCGUGGGGAAUCUGCCUUUGAGCGGGGGACAACAUUUGGAAACGAAUGCUAAUACCGCAUAAAAACUUUAAACACAAGUUUUAAGUUUGAAAGAUGCAAUUGCAUCACUCAAAGAUGAUCCCGCGUUGUAUUAGCUAGUUGGUGAGGUAAAGGCUCACCAAGGCGAUGAUACAUAGCCGACCUGAGAGGGUGAUCGGCCACGUUGGGACUGAGACACGGCCCAAACUCCUACGGGAGGCAGCAGUAGGGAAUCUUCGGCGAUGGACGAAAGUCUGACCGAGCAACGCCGCGUGAGUGAAGAAGGUUUUCGGAUCGUAAAACUCUGUUGGUAGAGAAGAACGUUGGUGAGAGUGGAAAGCUCAUCAAGUGACGGUAACUACCCAGAAAGGGACGGCUAACUACGUG